rnacentral:rRNA from 1 species
CGUGCUUAACACAUGCAAGUCGAACGAUGAUGGGAGCUUGCUCCUGGAUUAGUGGCGAACGGGUGAGUAACACGUGAGUAACCUGCCCUUAACUCUGGGAUAAGCCUGGGAAACUGGGUCUAAUACCGGAUAUGACUCCUCAUCGCAUGGUGGGGGGUGGAAAGCUUUAUUGUGGUUUUGGAUGGACUCGCGGCCUAUCAGCUUGUUGGUGAGGUAAUGGCUUACCAAGGCGACGACGGGUAGCCGGCCUGAGAGGGUGACCGGCCACACUGGGACUGAGACACGGCCCAGACUCCUACGGGAGGCAGCAGUGGGGAAUAUUGCACAAUGGGCGCAAGCCUGAUGCAGCGACGCCGCGUGAGGGAUGACGGCCUUCGGGUUGUAAACCUCUUUCAGUAGGGAAGAAGCGAAAGUGACGGUACCUGCAGAAGAAGCGCCGGCUAACUACGUGCCAGCAGCCGCGGUAAUACGUAGGGCGCAAGCGUUAUCCGGAAUUAUUGGGCGUAAAGAGCUCGUAGGCGGUUUGUCGCGUCUGCCGUGAAAGUCCGGGGCUCAACUCCGGAUCUGCGGUGGGUACGGGCAGACUAGAGUGAUGUAGGGG